rnacentral:rRNA from 1 species
UCCCGCCGGACCUGACUGCUAUCGGAUUGAUACUAAGCCAUGCGAGUCUUUGUAGUAAUACAAGGCAUACGGCUCAGUAACACGUAGUCAACCUACCCUAUGGACAAGAAUAAUCUCGGGAAACUGGGCAUAAUUCUUGAUAGAUCAUAAUGCCUGGAAUGGUUUAUGGUUAAAAUGAUUCGUCGCCAUAGGAUGGGACUGCGGCCUAUCAGCUUGUUGGUGAGGUAAUGGCCCACCAAGGCGAUUACAGGUACGGGCUCUGAGAGGAGAAGCCCGGAGAUGGGUACUGAGACACGGACCCAGGCCCUAUGGGGCGCAGCAGGCGAGAAAACUUUGCAAUGUGCGAAAGCACGACAAGGUUAAUCCGAGUGAUUUCUGCUAAAGAAAUCUUUUGCCAGUCAUAAAACCACUGGUGAAUAAGGGGUGGGCAAGUUCUGGUGUCAGCCGCCGCGGUAAAACCAGCACCUCAAGUGGUCAGGAUGAUUAUUGGGCCUAAAGCAUCCGUAGCCGGCUUUGUAAGUUUUCGGUUAAAUCCAUGUGCUCAACACAUGGGCUGCCGAAAAUACUGCAUAGCUAGGGAGUGGGAGAGGUAGACGGUACUCAGUAGGAAGGGGUAAAAUCCUUUGAUCUAUUGAUGACCACCUGUGGCGAAGGCGGUCUACCAGAACACGUUCGACGGUGAGGGAUGAAAGCUGGGGGAGCAAACCGGAUUAGAUACCCGGGUAGUCCCAGCUGUAAACGAUGCAGACUCGAUGAUGCAUUGGCAUAAUAGCCAGUGCAGUGUCGCAGGGAAGCCGUUAAGUCUGCCGCCUGGGAAGUACGUACGCAAGUAUGAAACUUAAAGGAAUUGGCGGGGGAGCACCACAAGGGGUGAAGCCUGCGGUUCAA